rnacentral:rRNA from 1 species
UAUCUACCCUUUGGCCUGGAAUAACACGAGGAAACUUGUGCUAAUACCGGAUAAGUCUUUACGGAGAAAGCUUUAUGCACCAUUGGAUGAGCCUGCACUUGAUUAGUUUGUUGGUGGGGUAAUGGCCUACCAAGACUGUGAUCAAUAGCUGAUUUGAGAGGAUGAUCAGCCACAUUGGGACUGAGACACGGCCCAAACUCCUACGGGAGGCAGCAGUGGGGAAUCUUGCACAAUGGAGGAAACUCUGAUGCAGCGAUGCCGCGUGAGUGAAGAAGGCCCUUGAGUUGUAAAGCUCUUUCGUCGGGGAAGAAAAUGACUGUACCCGAAUAAGAAGGUCCGGCUAACUUCGUACCAGCAGCCGCGGUAAUACGAAGGGACCUAGCGU